GGGAGCUUAGAUGUGGAAGCUCUUUGGAAACCAAGAAACACUCUGCAAAUGAAAAGGGUGGAAGAGUAAACUGUUCCUGUUUCUCCAUCUUGACAGGAAGCAGAAGUUCUCCUUAGCUGAUUUUUCUUCUUGCCUUAUACUGGGUUCUUUAACACCAGAACAAAAAUAAAUAAAUAAAAGAAUCUUCCAGAAAUUCAUGAAGAGACUUCAGGUCAGGAAAGCCUGAACUUUCUCAUCCAACACCUGUUCAAGUCGGAGGAUGCUGAUUAAUUCAUGAUGGAAAGGUAUCAAUUUCACAGCCCAGACCUCUACAUUCUUGAAAUGCUCUUCUCAUGGGAGACAUUAAAUAAGCUUUGAAUUAACUUAAGCCCUUAAGUAAAAGUGCCAUCAAAUGAUUUCUCAGAAAUUAUAAAGAAACAAAAGGACCAUAAACAAGAUAAGGUGGCAUGAGGAAACAUUACAAGUACCUUUCAGAGCUGACUGGCAAAGAAACUCCUGAGGUGAUGGUUCUACCCCAAUAUUACUUCUUCCAAGAGCAACCUAACUGACCUUGUAUUGAAGACAGCGUAACCCCCAAGAGGAAAGGAGCUUGGAGCCCUGAAUCAGAGUAGAAGACAGGCUGAAUGAAUACCAGCCUUGGACUGUUAUGUGAAUGAAAAACAAGUUUUGAGAUUUGUGUGGUUUA
rnacentral:antisense_RNA from 1 species